rnacentral:rRNA from 1 species
AUUGAACGCUGGCGGCAGGCCUAACACAUGCAAGUCGAGCGGCAGCGGGAAAGUAGCUUGCUACUUUUGCCGGCGAGCGGCGGACGGGUGAGUAAUGCCUGGGAAAUUGCCCAGUCGAGGGGGAUAACAGUUGGAAACGACUGCUAAUACCGCAUACGUCCUACGGGGGAAAGCAGGGGACCUUCGGGCCUUGCGCGAUUGGAUAUGCCCAGGUGGGAUUAGCUAGUUGGUGAGGUAAUGGCUCACCAAGGCGACGAUCCCUAGCUGGUCUGAGAGGAUGAUCAGCCACACUGGAACUGAGACACGGUCCAGACUCCUACGGGAGGCAGCAGUGGGGAAUAUUGCACAAUGGGGGAAACCCUGAUGCAGCCAUGCCGCGUGUGUGAAGAAGGCCUUCGGGUUGUAAAGCACUUUCAGCGAGGAGGAAAGGUUGAUGCCUAAUACGUAUCAACUGUGACGUUACUCGCAGAAGAAGCACCGGCUAACUCCGUGCCAGCCGCCGCGGUAAGAC